GACGAAGGAUGCAAGCGUUAUCCGGAUUCAUUGGGUUUAAAGGGAGCGUAGGCGGCCUUGUAAGUCAGUAGUGAAAUCUCUCGGCUUAACCGAGAAAUUGCCAUUGAUACUGCAGGGCUUGAGUACAGUUGCCGUUGGCGGAAUAUGACAUGUAGUGGUGAAAUACAUAGAGAUGUCAUAGAACACCGAUUGCGAAGGCAGCUAACGAAACUGUAACUGACGCUGAGGCUCGAAAGUGCGGGGAUCAAACAGG
rnacentral:rRNA from 1 species